UGAGAGCCUUAACCCAAUCACUGAAUUAACCCCCUGAUAGGAUUAACUGAGUGGUAACUGAAGGCAGGUAGGGUGUGGCUGGAGGAGGUGGGACACUGGGGAUGUGCCUUUGGGGUAUAUAUUUUGUAUCUGGCAAGUGGAGUCUUUCUCUGCUUCUGGAUCAUCAUGUGAGCUGCUUCACUCUGCCACACUCUUCAGCCACGAUGUUCCGUCUCACUUCAAGCCCCAAG
rnacentral:lncRNA from 1 species